CUCCCACCCUAUGUUUAUCAUACCUCUGUUGCUUUGGCAGGCCCGUCUUCGGACCACCGGCUCCGGCCGGUCCGUGCCUGCCAGAGGACCUAAAACUCUGUUUGUUAAUGCAGUCUGAGUACUAUAUAAUAGUUAAAACUUUCAACAACGGAUCUCUUGGUUCUGGCAUCGAUGAAGAACGCAGCGAAAUGCGAUAAGUAAUGUGAAUUGCAGAAUUCAGUGAAUCAUCGAAUCUUUGAACGCACAUUGCGCCCCCUGGUAUUCCGGGGGGCAUGCCUGUUCGAGCGUCAUUACAACCCUCAAGCUCUGCUUGGUAUUGGGCCCCGCCAGUUCUGGCGGGCCCUAAAGUCAGUGGCGGUGCCUUCCGGCUCCGAGCGUAGUAAUUCUUCUCGCUCUGGAGACCCGGUUGUGUGCUUGCCAACAACCCCCAAUUUUUUAAGGUUGACCUCGGAUCAGG
rnacentral:rRNA from 1 species